AGUUCCUGCACCGUUCAUCCAGUUGCUGGGUUUUAGCUACGCUUCCUGCUCCUUCAGCUUCCCACAACACCAACUAUGCUACUCUGGUCAAGCUGGUUAAGCAUGGUGCCAUCAUCCCAGCCCCGACCUAUGUUUCCAUCAUGUUCUGGACUCGUGACCACCAUCAGAAUCUCACUGUGUAGACCUGACUCAUCUGGAACUUACUGUGUAGACCAGACUAAACUGUAGCUCACAGAGGUCUGCCUGCCUCUGUGUGCUGGUGAGCUGUUUGGAUGAGUUCACUGAAAACCAGAAAUGGAGGAGGCCUUCACUGUCUCCUUGAACCACACUAAGUUCAUAUCCACCACCCCUUUGUUUCUUAAGGCAAUGAGAUGUGCUGAGUCUUCAUUGAGGUCAAUCUCCCUGAGAAUCAUUUGGCAGUCAAGUUGCUGCUGACUCUGCUGUGGGAUAGUUGUGGGCUAGAACACCCUCGUCGGAAUGUCGCAAUCGAAAGCUGGCAGAUCGUGUGUUUCUACUGCCGCGUGCCCCUUUUAUGUUGAGUGAAGUGGAAGAUCUGGCUCCAAGGGACCAAAGUUUGGAGUAAUUCCAUGGACAGACAACCCACUGCCCACUCGGAAAGUUCAUAAACAUCCAGCUGCCAGGGAGAAGUUUGAAGUCUGUCAGGCAGAGCCAACAAGGACACAGUGUCCUGCCAGGAGGGACCCUGGAGAACACAGAGUUACCUACAGAGGACAGUAGGUAACCUGGACACCUCUGUCCUCUCCAAGCGUGGAAAUUGGUCCUUGCAGGGAAAGAAGCCUGACACUUGAGCAACAUCAUUGGUCUGUCACUGACUAUGAGGACCUUGUUUGGAGCCCUGCGGCUGUGGCUAGGGACCAUCUGUUAACAUCAGACUCUCUUCUCACAGGUUUUGAUCAAAGGCAUAGGGAAGCCAUUACA